UACGUAGGGGGCAAGCGUUGUCCGGAAUCAUUGGGCGUAAAGAGCGCGUAGGCGGCCCUGUAAGUCCGCUGUGAAAGUCAAGGGCUCAACCCUUGGAUGCCGGUGGAUACUGCAGGGCUAGAGUCCGGAAGAGGCGAGUGGAAUUCCUGGUGUAGCGGUGAAAUGCGCAGAUAUCAGGAGGAACACCGAUGGCGAAGGCAGCUCGCUGGGACGGUACUGACGCUGAGGCGCGAAAGCUAGGGGAGCAAACGGG
rnacentral:rRNA from 1 species